GACGAACGCUGGCGGCGUGCCUAAUACAUGCAAGUAGAACGCUGAAGGAGGAGCUUGCUUCUCUGGAUGAGUUGCGAACGGGUGAGUAACGCGUAGGUAACCUGCCUGGUAGCGGGGGAUAACUAUUGGAAACGAUAGCUAAUACCGCAUAAUGGCAGUUGUUGCAUGACAACUGUUUGAAAGGUGCAAUUGCACCACUACCAGAUGGACCUGCGUUGUAUUAGCUAGUUGGUGGGGUAACGGCUCACCAAGGCGACGAUACAUAGCCGACCUGAGAGGGUGAUCGGCCACACUGGGACUGAGACACGGCCCAGACUCCUACGGGAGGCAGCAGUAGGGAAUCUUCGGCAAUGGACGGAAGUCUGACCGAGCAACGCCGCGUGAGUGAAGAAGGUUUUCGGAUCGUAAAGCUCUGUUGUAAGAGAAGAACGAGUGUGAGAGUGGAAAGUUCACACUGUGACGGUAUCUUACCAGAAAGGGACGGCUAACUACGUG
rnacentral:rRNA from 1 species